rnacentral:rRNA from 1 species
UACAGAGGUCCCGAGCGUUGUUCGGAUUUAUUGGGCGUAAAGGGUGCGUAGGCGGCGGAGUAAGUUGGGUGUGAAAUCCCGGGGCUCAACCUCGGAAUGGCAUUCAAUACUGCUUCGCUAGAGUACUGGAGAGGAGGCUGGAAUUUACGGUGUAGCAGUGAAAUGCGUAGAUAUCGUAAGGAAGGCCGGUGGCGAAAGCGAGCCUCUGGACAGUUACUGACGCUGAUGCACGAAGGCCAGGGGAGCGAACAGG